UUUCCGUAGGUGAACCUGCGGAAGGAUCAUUACCGAGUUUUUUGGCUUCUGUCAAAACUCCCACCCUUUGUUUAUUAUGUCUUCUUCGGCAUGACGAUUUGUUGGUUGCAAGACUGACAAGCCACUGGUUUGAGAGAACGAGUGAGUGCUUGCCGAAGGCCUUUAACUCUAUAUUUUGAAGUCUGAGUCUAAAGAAAAUAAAUUAAAACUUUCAACAACGGAUCUCUUGGUUCUGGCAUCGAUGAAGAACGCAGC
rnacentral:misc_RNA from 1 species